rnacentral:rRNA from 1 species
UACAGAGGUCCCAAGCGUUGUUCGGAUUCAUUGGGCGUAAAGGGUGUGUAGGUGGCGCCGUAAGUCAGGUGUGAAAUCUCGGGGCUUAACUCCGAAACUGCAUUUGAUACUGCGGUGCUUGAGGACUGGAGAGGAGACUGGAAUUUAUGGUGUAGCAGUGAAAUGCGUAGAUAUCAUAAGGAAGACCAGUGGCGAAGGCGGGUCUCUGGACAGUUCCUGACGCUGAGGCACGAAGGCCAGGGGAGCAAACGGG